UUUCAUGUAAACAGCUGAAGUGUGUUGUGUUCCUGUAAUGUGGUUCAUUAAGUUCAUAAAACUGUGGCUGGUUGACAUUAAUGUAACGUUCAGGAAACCUAAAUGUGAUUAAAACAGUAACGUUAAUGUUCUAGUUGUCAGUAAUCAGCUUUAAUUUGACACUAAAACAGACUCUGAUAGUUUUAAAUGACAUCAGUUUCAUUAAUUUGUUGAAAAUUGUCUCAUUUGUUGUUGUGAUGUUGCUGCUGAUUCAUUAAAAGCAGAUGAUCCAUGUUGAAGAUACAUUUAGUUCUAGUAUCAGAAGUACAAGAAGGAAAUGGAAGUUUAGUUCUGCUACAUCAAAGAGUUCAGGAUUAAAAUAACUAAAUGAGUCUUUAUGCCUCAAACUUUAUUUUUACAAUAAAGAAAUAAUGAAAUAAUCACAGAUAAUAAAAAUAUAAAUAGCAGAGAAAACCUGAGAGAAUAAUUUCCUGAAAAGUCUGUGAAGGAAAAGCAGCUUUUUUAUCCUGAAAGAUCAGAAUCAGCUCCAACAUCUGCAUCUGACAGCAUCAAGUCAACCAGAAAGAAAAGAAAAAAGAAAAUGACUUCUUUCUGAUCACAUCUGUUCACAUCUGUUUUUAUUUAUUAAUUUUUUAAAAAUAAAAUAAAAUCACAUCUGUUCCGUUGCUCACAGUCUGCUGCUGCUCACAUUCUUCACAUUUAUAGUCCACUUUUAAAAGUUCAGCAGACAGGUGCUCUGCUUUGGAGUGUGACGAUGUCGUCGGUGAUGUGGAGAGUGAAGUUUCCGUUUCACCCACAGCGUGCUUUAGGGCAGUCAGGUCAGACUUGAUGUUUGAAAAACUGACCGACAGCUGAGAUUUAACUGUCUGUAGUUCUGUUUUGAUGGGUGUUAAACUUUCACUCAAAGCCGCCAGGAGCUGGGUCUUUAAAAUAACCGCCGUCUCGUUACAGAGUGAAAGUAGCAGUUCCUCCUUAAGGUCAGAGAUUGCAGCAUCUGAGGGCCUCUUCAAAAGAAGACGUAGUUGAUGAAGGUGUUCUGAGCAGGACCAGAAAGACCACGACCAAGCAGCCUUGAGAUCUUAGGCAGCGUCUCCCUCGGGUCCCUCUCUAUCUCCCCACACAUCCACCAACCACUGGAACACAUCUCCAAAGUUCUGCCGGGCCAGCUCAGCUUCCCCUCAGAAGAAGUUCCGCCAGAUGAAGGAGCCUUUUGAGAGGCAGCUGGCAUCGUGAUUGGACUGUACUUUGGUCUGUUCCAAUCCAGCUUCAGCUCCAGAGACGGCAGGCGGGACGAGUCAACGGAGGCUGGGUGGACGAAGGCUGCAGCUGAGUACAAUCCAGAAAACAACAGAGGAGGAGUGCAGUGGCCCAGGGCCAGAACAAACAGAGUAUGUCUCUUAGAAAACAUCAUAGUACAGCCUUUGGUAUGAAAAAACGCCAUCAUAUACAUCGUAUAUUGUACAAAUAACAAGUCAAAGGAAAGAGACAUACAUUGUAGAAUUGUAGUAAUUGUGGGCUGACUGAUUUACCGAUUAUCGGUAUUUUAUUUUUUACUGAUUUACGGUAAUAAAUACAUUUAAAAAUGGU